CCGCCGGAGUCCUCGCCCUGCCGCGCAGAGCCCGGCUCGCACUGCGCCCGCCGCUGCGCUUCCCACAGCCCGCCCGGGAUUGGCAGCUCGGGACGAAGCCUCCCUAGCCCACACCGGCCAUCGGACGCCCUCAGGGCGAGCGACGCGAGGGUCACCCGGGGCUUCGAGGGGCCGGCACGACACCGGUUGGAGCUGCGAACUGUGCGCGCCCGGCUCUGUGGCCUCAGCUGUCCGGGAGAAGCCAGAGUCGCGGACCGACGCUAAGAGCCGGGAGUCCGGAGCACAGUCUUACCCUCAACGCUGGGCUACUCCGACACGAGAGUGAGCGCCCGAGGCGAGCAGGAAGAGUGAUCGGACCCCAGGCUGCCACAAAAGACACUUGGCCCGAGGGCUCGGAGCGUGAGGUCACCCGGUUUGGCAGCCGGGGACGCGCGGCUGGACUGUCUCGAGAAUGAGCCCCAGGACGCCGGGACGCCGCAGCCGUGCGGGUUCCGCUGGCGAGCGCUGAUGGGGGUGCGCCAGAGUCAGGCUGAGGGAUGCGGAGUGGCGGCCCGCCCGCCACCCAGAUCUUCGCUGCGCCCUUGCCG
rnacentral:lncRNA from 1 species